rnacentral:rRNA from 1 species
CACGUAGUUAGCCGGGGCUUCUUAGUCAGGUACCGUCUUUCUUCUUCCCUGCUGAUAGAGCUUUACAUACCGAAAUACUUCUUCACUCACGCGGCGUUGCUGCAUCAGGGUUUCCCCCAUUGUGCAAUAUUCCCCACUGCUGCCUCCUGUAGGAGUUUGGGCCGUGUCUCAGUCCCAAUGUGGCCGGCCACCCUCUCAGGUCGGCUACUGAUCGUCGCCUUGGUGGGCCGUUACCUCACCAACCAGCUAAUCAGACGCGGAUCCAUCCCAUACCACCGGAGUUUUUCACACCGGACCAUGCGGUCUUGUGCGCUUAUGCGGUAUUAGCAGUCAUUUCUAACUGUUAUCCCCCUGUAUGAGGCAGGUUAUCCACGCGUUACUCACCCGUCCGCCGCUAAGUCAUAUCUGCUUCCAUCCGAAAACGUCCGCUAAUACGCUUCGCUCGACUUGCGUGUGUUAGUACGACGCCGCCCGACGCGUCGUCUCUCGUAGCGACGAGUACUAACUA